rnacentral:rRNA from 1 species
CCCCCGUAGAACGAACGCUGGCGGCAGGCCUAACACAUGCAAGUCGAGCGCGCCCUUCGGGGUGAGCGGCGGACGGGUGAGUAACGCGUGGGAACGUGCCCUUCUCUACGGAAUAGUCCUGGGAAACUGGGGGUAAUACCGUAUACGCCCUUAGGGGGAAAGAUUUAUCGGAGAAGGAUCGGCCCGCGUUGGAUUAGGUAGUUGGUGGGGUAAUGGCUCACCAAGCCGACGAUCCAUAGCUGGUUUGAGAGGAUGAUCAGCCACACUGGGACUGAGACACGGCCCAGACUCCUACGGGAGGCAGCAGUGGGGAAUCUUAGACAAUGGGGGCAACCCUGAUCUAGCCAUGCCGCGUGAGUGAUGAAGGCCUUAGGGUUGUAAAGCUCUUUCAGCUGGGAAGAUAAUGACGGUACCAGCAGAAGAAGCCCCGGCUAACUCCGUGCCAGCAGCCGCGGUAAU